AAUCAAGCAUAAAUGAUAAGAAAAAAACAAAAACUGAGAAAAGAUGAAACACAAAGAAAGUAGGCCCUCUAUUUGAUGACUAUAAAACAUAAUUUAUAUGUCAUUGGAGAAUAUUACAAUAUAGCCAUCAAUCAGAAGAAUUAUAAUAAGUUAAAUCCCCAAAGAAUUAAGUUGUUGUCUUUUGAUUAAAUUAUAGACAAAGCAUCAACGCAAUUACUGCAAUUACUGGUGAUAGCAUGUAUGGAGUUGUUCCCUCCAUGUUGCCG
rnacentral:misc_RNA from 1 species